UACGGAGGGUGCGAGCGUUGUCCGGAAUCAUUGGGCGUAAAGGGCGCGUAGGUGGCGCGGUCAGUUCGUGGUGAAAGCGCGGGGCUCAACCCCGCGUCGGCCAUGAAUACUGCUGGGCUGGAGCACUGUAGAGGCAGGCGGAAUUCCGGGUGUAGCGGUGGAAUGCGUAGAGAUCCGGAAGAACACCGGUGGCGAAGGCGGCCUGCUGGGCAGUUGCUGGACACUGAGGCACGGAAGGUCAGGGGAGCAAACGGG
rnacentral:rRNA from 1 species